rnacentral:rRNA from 1 species
GAUGAACGCUGGCGGCGUGCCUAAUACAUGCAAGUCGAACGGGGAGUCGCAAUACUCUUAGUGGCGAACGGGUGAGUAACGCGUUGGUACCUGCCCCGAAGCGGGGGAUAACGGACCGAAAGGUCCGCUAAUACCCCAUGUGCUCGGUGACGAGUAAAGGUGAAAACCACUUUGGGAGGGGCCUGCGUCCCAUCAGCUAGUUGGUAAGGUAACGGCUUACCAAGGCGAUGACGGGUAGGGGACCUGAGAGGGUGGCCCCCCACAAUGGAACUGAAACACGGUCCAUACACCUACGGGUGGCAGCAGUAGGGAAUAUUGGUAAUGGGCGCAAGCCUGAACCAGCAACGCCGCGUGUGCGAUGACGGCCUUCGGGUUGUAAAGCACUUUUGACUGGGACGAGGAAGGACGGUACCGGUCGAAUCAGCCUCGGCUAACUACGUG